rnacentral:rRNA from 1 species
GGGUCCACCCAUUGGUCAGGCUUAAUUGUCUGUACUGGUGAGAUGAAUCUCUACCUUCUGAGGAACUUUCAUGCCAUUUAUUUGGUGUGAUGGGAGAUCAGGACUGUUACUUUGAAAAAAUUAGAGUGUUUAAAGCAGGCUAACGUCUGAAUACAUUAGCAUGGAAUAAUGAAAUAGGACGGACUGAUUCUAUUUCGUUGGCUUCUAGGAUCACCGUA